rnacentral:lncRNA from 1 species
AUACAUGCUAUCACCGGCACAUAAUCUCCGAGCUCGCAUCGCUUGCCAUGUCGUCGUCUGAAAUCGGACUUCCGGGUAUCCGAAACCCCUACCACCGAUUUUUCUCGGCACGCGGCACCGACUUAUUUAAGUAUGGGUUUCUAUUUGAUUUUAUUGAUUAGGUACUUUCCAAUAGUCUGUUUUGAUUUCCUCCAUGUGUGGGUCAAAUUUUGAAUAGUUAAAAUAGAAUCAUGUCUAGCUUUUGAUUAAAUUUUUUGUUCCUGCUAAACAUAAACAUACAGUGCUGAUUUUGUUGUUGGCUAGAUGGGUACUAACCUGGUAAUCUUCUCCAAUUGAUGGUCAAAGUAUGCUUAUAUCUGUUUCUGUAGAAUCUUCUGAUCUGUUAC